GACGAACGCUGGCGGCGUGCUUAACACAUGCAAGUCGAACGGAAAGGCCCUGCACUUGUGCCGUGCUCGAGUGGCGAACGCGUGAGUAUCACGCGAGUAACCUGUCCCUGACUUUGGGAUACCUUCUGGAAACUCGGGCUAAUAUACGGUAGAAACUCCUGCUGCAUGGUGGGGGUUGGUAAGUGUCGGCGUUUUGGGACGGAAUCGAGGCCUAUCAUCUUGUUGGUGAGGUAGUGACUUACCAAGGCUUUGACGGGUUGCCGGCUUGCGAGGGUGACCGGGCACAUUGGGACUGAGAAACGGCCCAGACGGCUACGGGGGGCAGCAGUGGAGAAUAUUGCACGAUGGGCGGAAGCCUGAUGGAGCGAUGCCGGAUGCGGGAAGACGGCCUUCGGGUUGUAAACCGGUUUCGCGUGUGACGAAGAGUGAGUGACGGUAAUUGGUAAAGAAGCACCGGCUAACUACGUG
rnacentral:rRNA from 1 species